AUACAAUAACAAUGAUAAAACAAAAUUACAAAUGGAAUUUCCUUAUUAAAAUAGAUAUUUGUGCACUAAAUACAUAAUAAUAUGACAAAGAAGAAGAAGACGUUGCGUGUCACCGUAUAGCCAAGGAAAUAUCUUGUGAAAGUUUUUACUCAAGGCGGAAAAUUAUU